UACGGAGGGUGCGAGCGUUGUUCGGAAUCACUGGGCGUAAAGGGCGUGUAGGCGGUCCGCUAAGUCUGAUGUGAAAGCCCGGGGCUCACCCCCGGAAGUGCAUUGGAAACUGGCGGACUCGAGUCCCGGAAAGGAGGGUGGAAUUCCUGGUGUAGCGGUGAAAUGCGUAGAUAUCAGGAGGAACACCGGUGGCGAAGGCGGCCCUCUGGACGGUGACUGACGCUGAGACGCGAAAGCGUGGGGAGCGAACAGG
rnacentral:rRNA from 1 species